rnacentral:rRNA from 1 species
GAUGAACGCUAGCUACAGGCUUAACACAUGCAAGUCGAGGGGCAGCAGGGAUUUAGCUUGCUAAAUUCGCUGGCGACCGGCGCACGGGUGCGUAACGCGUAUCCAACUUUCCCGUUACUCUGGGAUAGCCUUCCGAAAGGGAGAUUAAUACCUGAUAGUAUCCAUUAGCGGCAUCACCUAUGGAUUAAAGAGUUAUCGGUGUCGGAUGGGCAUGCGUUCCAUUAGCUAGUUGGUGAGGUAACGGCUCACCAAGGCUACGAUGGAUAGGGGUUCUGAGAGGAAGGUCCCCCACACUGGUACUGAGACACGGACCAGACUCCUACGGGAGGCAGCAGUGAGGAAUAUUGGUCAAUGGACGGAAGUCUGAACCAGCCAAGUCGCGUGAAGGAAGACGGUUCUAUGAAUUGUAAACUUCUUUUGUCGGGGAGUAAAGUCAGCUACGCGUAGCUGUUUGCAAGCACCCGAAGAAAAGCAUCGGCUAACUCCGUGCCAGCAGCCG